CACACCAGCAACACAAAGUCUGCCCCACCACCCAGGGAAGCCUGGGGCCGGAAGCGUGCCAGGAGCAACUUCAGCAGGACGGGUGCUGGGCUGGCAGCCGGCCAGCACCUCUGCUCAGCUGGCCGCCUACUCGAUGGCUGCGGAGACUGCGCACUGCGGGGCUGGGCCCUCACUGGGACCCUGGGAGGACACGGGGUGGAGCAUGCGCCAGGCAGCCACGUGGCAGUGGGAGCCAGGCUGGAGUCCGCUGGUGGAAGACAGGACACAGGCUGGAAAGGAAAACCCAACACGAUGACUGCCCCUCGCAGGCCACAGUCAGCCCGGCCCCAGGAGAGAGACCCGUGGAGCCCUAUGUCUCAGCAGGCAAGACCACCCUGGCCUGCCAUGCCUCCAUCCUAUGCCUAUAAAAACCCAAGACCCUAGCAAGGCAGAGACAGAAGCCUCUGUGUGGGGAGAGGAACACACUGGUGGAAGAAGACAAGCUGCUGGACAUCCCGAGAAUGUUGCCUGACUCCAGGGGAAAACCAUCUCCCCUCUGGCUCCCCCAUCUGCUGAGAGCUACUUCCACUCAAUAAAACCUUGCACUCAUUCUCCAAGCCCACGUGUGAUCCAAUUUUUUGGUACACCAAGGCAAGAAACCCUGGGAUACAGAAAUUCCUCUGUCCUUGUUAUAAGGCAGGGGUCUAAUUGAGCUCACUCUCACCAGCCACCUACAGACCGCUAGACUAAAAGACCACCCGGUAACGCACUCCCACUGGGGUUUCAAGAGCUGUAAACAUUCACCCCCAGACACUGCCAUGGGGUCAGAGCCCCACAGCCUGCCCGUCUGUAUGCUCCCCUAGAGGUGUGAGCGGUGGGGCACUGAAGAAGCGAGCCACUCCCCCGCUGCAUGCCCUGCGCCCUGCGCGGGGUAACCAGGGAACCCUUCCUGUUUCACUGUUUCACUGGGUAGAGAUCUCCCGGCUGGAGACAGAAUGGUGGGGAGAGGCCAGAUGUGCCCAGCAGCAGAUCCUGAGCCAGAGAAGGCCAUCAAUUAUUCAGCUCCUGCCUCUCAGCCUCCUCCGUUAGUACCUCUUAAAGCCGGGAAGAUAAAUCUCUCCGCUUGCUCCGUGGCGCCGACAGGAAGCAGGGCGGCACCAGGACCGUGACAGGCCCCGGCUGGGCCCCGGUUUCCCGAGCCAGCACAGGCGGCCUGCAAGGCUUCUCUGCUAUUAAAUCCAUAAUUCAGCGGCAACGCAGCUGGGGCCUGGCACACAGGGUCCCUGUGAUGAGGAGGGGCUGCCCCUGCCGGAAUGCACCAGAGGCUGCCACCAGGGAGAGAGUUACAAGGACCACUUCCGUGGACCUGGCAGGUCCUAGGGCCCCCUUUAAAAUUGUGCCUGGGGAGAGUCCCUGGCGCUGCUCCGGAGGAUCAUGGAGCCCGACUCUACUCACAGGGGAGACCACACAGCUUCUGCGGGGCAAGACAGCUGAGGAGCAUGUCAGGAACAGGAAGUAAACAGAAGCAAAUAUUUACCGAAUCCCUGGUGAGAAGGAACUUUCCAAGAAUAAAGGGAAGGAUGAGUUCACUUUGACUGUGUGGAAGCUAAAUUCUCAGGUGGCUCAAAGGAAAACAUCAAGCUAAAAGACAAGAAAUGAGGCGGGUAAAUUUUUGACACUAACAUGACAAAAAAUUAAUAGCAUUAACACGGCAGGAACUUAUCUGAAGCAGCAACACCAAGGGCAAUGUGAGUGAACUGCAGACAAGGCAACCCGGACGCCAUGGGACACGCCACAGAGCAGGCUGCCUUGUCCCCACUCUGCCUACAUGUGAGACCCACCAGACUCACAGUGAACACAUCCCAGCCCCUCCGGCCGGGCACCACGGAAGGCCCUCCCUCCUCCACUGAGGGCAGGGAUCACAGGGCCAGGUUUUUGUCAUCGGACAAGGGGUGUCCCAAGUCAUGAGAUGCUUAACCCAUGAAUGCCCCCUCUUGGAGUCUAUGCUAAUUAAACACGUAGAGGGGCGGACUUCACUCUGCCAGCUCAGAUAAUGACCACAGCAUAUUUAUAACCACAAAGAGGUGGAAACAGCUACACUAUCCAACAGUGGGGAAAUGUUUAAGUCAAUGCUGGGAGAGUAACACCAUGGACCAGCCCCGAAGAGACAUCUGUGGUGAGUGAAAUGCACGCCAUACAAGCCCAGAGAGACUGUGAACUUGGAAGAAAGAAUAGGUGCACACAAUAAGACUGGGAGGAAAUGAACAAACUAUCAUCGGCCAUGAGGUUCUCCUUUACUUACAAUAAGUAUAUGCAGCACAGACAUGAGAAAGGCAUUCCUGGAGUGUGAAGCCCAGGGCAAGAGGAUGCGGGUGUCCUGAGCAAGCAAUAAUGCCAGCACCUUCUGCAAGGAGCUCUGCUGGGCCACCUCUUGGGCAACAAACCAUCCUGGGACAUCUUGCAGACAAGGAAACAGGCUUCAGGAGGCAAUGGUGCCUCUUGAAGGGCAGGGCACACAGCCACAGGGCCACCUUCUGCAUGGCUCCCACCGCAGCUGAGUCUCCAAGGAAGCUGGGUUUUUACAGGGGCAGGUCCUCAAGGUGGAUACCCCUUUGCUAAAGGCUCUGCCCCAGCAACCCACAAGCAGCCACUUGCCCUGGGCUCCAGGCGGCUGCCCUCCCCUUGCUGUCCUCUGGACUGUUUAGUAUGCAGAAGGACCAGCCCUGCAAGGCCACCAUAAAUCCUGCCCCUGUCCUACAGCAGAUCAAUUGCCAAUCGGCUCCAAAUCCCCUAGAUGUCUCAGCAGCUUGGCCCAGCUGUAGGAGCCACGGCCAUGGUUGGCUCUAGAUGCUGCUGGCUAUAUAUAUUGAACUUGAAGCAUCGGAUUACAUGUUUGUUCAAUAGCAAUAAACUCCCAAAGUUUUAUGGGGUCAUAAAACCGCUGUCUCGGCUCCCACUUAGGUGGUAUGUAAUGUACACAGGCUGGUUUCCCCGCUAAUGGGGCGGUGCAAGUGAUUUGGGGCUAUUAGCUGGAAACAUCACAUCUGCAUUUCCCAAAUUCUCAUAAAUAAGGUGGCCCCACCAGAGUGCACC
rnacentral:lncRNA from 1 species